AAAAUUCGUAAACCACGGAUUGGUUCCGGAUUGAAGCCCACGGUUUCAGAUUGGAACCGAUUUGGACCGUAUAGAAAUAGUCUAUAUUUAUACUAUAUAUGCUCCCACAUAAUAUCAUUUCUUCUUUCUUAUAAAAGCUAAACUCCAACCUAAUUCACGCCACUCACUCACUGUCUCUCACUUUCAUCUCUCUCUCUCUCUCUCUCUCAUCUCUCUCUCAUCUCAGAUUGAGUUCUCUCUUGGUACUGUCUCUUACACGCAUCCAUCUCAGAUCAGAUCGGUGAGCUCUCUCUCUCUCUCAGUGUUCUCAAACACAGUCAGCUCAAAUCAUCCAUCUUAAAUUAGAUCGUCAACUCAGAUCAUCCAUCUCAUCUCAGAUCAUCCAUUUUCAGAUUAGAUCGGUAACUGUAGCUGCUUGUCUCUCUCUCGAUGUCAAGUACUAGAGAGACAAAUGAUGUCAUCGACCUCUCUCAGUCUCAGUUUAAGCCAAAACAUGAUCUUCAGCCUGAAACUCCUUCUGGUUCAAAUGUAUGCCCCUCUCCUUCUAAGCCAAAAGCUCAACAAUAUUCUGAAGUUUGGGAGCAUUUUACCAAAAAAUUUUAAAGAAGGGAGUAAGACUGUUGCAUGUGUUAAAUGUAACUAUUGUAAAGUUUCUUAUGCUUGGAUUAGUGCAAAUGGAACUAGUACUUUGAGAAAACAUAUUGGAAACUGUUCUAAGUCCCCUCACAAUAAAGAAAAUAAAAAAUGAAAGACUUUGGCAUUUCAAUCUGUAACAGGUGGUGGAAAAACUCUUAGUGUUUGGAAAAUUGAUCAACAAGCAUGUAGGGAUUCACUUAUUAAAAUGGUAAUCACUAAUGAGUUGUCAUUUAGGUUUGUAGAGCGUGAAGGAUUCCGUCAAUUUUGUAGUGUGAUGCAACCUAAUUUCAAAAAGUUUUCACACUUUACAGUGGCAGGGGAUAUUAUGGAUUUAUACUGUAGUGAGAAGAAAAAAUUGAAAAAUUUGUUAAAGAAAUCAAACUAUAGACUUUGUCUCACUAUGGAUUCGUGGACAUCUUUACAAAAUGUUUCAUACAUGUGCCUAACAACCCACUUUAUUGAUAAAGACUGGAAUUUACUAAAAAGAAUUCUCAACUUUAGUGUGAUUUCUAAUCACAAAGGGGAGGCAAUUAGUAAGGCAGUGGAAUAAUGUUUUGUUGAUUGGGGUAUAGAGAAGAUUGGUACAAUCACUGUGGAUAAUGCAAAUGCAAAUGAUGUAGCUAUUGCAUAUGUGAAAAAUGAAGUUUUCUAAAAACAGUGACUCUUUGAUUUUAAGGGGUGUGUGCUUGCAUAUGAGGUAUUGUGCCCAUAUAAUUAAUUUAAUUGUGAAGGAUGGGUUAAGUGAAAUAAAAGAUUCAAUAACUCGAAUUCGUAAUGCGGUGAAGUAUGUAAGGAGUUCUCCACAACGAAAGCAAUUUUUCAGGACAUGUGCUGAUACAAAUAGGGUAACAUGUAAAAGCUUGUUAUGUCUAGAUGUUCAAACUAGGUGGAACUCCACAUAUCUAGUGCUAGAUAUUGCAAAAAUUUUUUAAAAAGUAUUUGAGAGAUUAGAGGAUGAGGACCCACAUUUCAAACCAAAACUUAAUCAUGGACCUCCUACCACUCAAGAUUGGGAAGAUACUCGUGUUUUUACACAAUUUUUGCACAAGUUUUAUGAUGCAAUUGUUCGCUUGUCUGGUUUUUUGUAUGUCACUUCCAACUUGUACUUCAUUGAAGUUUGUGCUACAGAAAGUGCCUUAACUGAAUGGGGAAAGAGGAAAGAGUUUAGAUCCUUCUUUAAAACCCAUAGCAAUAAAAAUGAAGACUAAAUUUGACAAGUAUUGGGGAAAAAUUGAAAAAAUAAAUAUGAUGUUACUGAUUGUUGUUGUGUUAGAUCCUCGUUAUAAGUUGAAGUAUGUGAGGUUUUGUUAUUUUGAAGUUUAUCAACCUAUCAUGGUGAGUUAGCUCACUCAAAAAGUGAGAGAGACUUUGAAUAACAUUUUUGAUGAGUAUAAACAGUUUGAGACAGUUGCUUCAUCUUCUAAGGAAAUGGUUCAUGAGGUAAACAUUGUUGAUCAAGUAAACAUUGGUGCAAGUGAGCACCAAGUGUCUCUUAUGACAAAAUUUCAAAAACUUUUGGAGGAAGAAGAAGGUGAUGGAAGGAAGUCAGAGGCAGAUAGGUAUUUGAAAGAAUCUUGUGAAAAGGAAGUUGCAAACUUUGACCUCUUAAGUCCGUGGAAGACAAAUUCUUUAAGAUAUAAAGUUCUUUCUCAAGUUGCAAGGGAUAUUUUGGCCAUUCCCGUCUCUACUGUUGCUUUUGAGUCUGCUUUCAGCACAUGAGGUCAUAUUCCUAACCAAUUUCGCAGUUCUCUUACUCCAAAGCUUGUUGAAAGUUUAAUUUGUACAUAAGAUUGGUUACGUGCUUCGCCAUUGCCACUUGAGAUGGAAGAAAACUUUGCAGAUUUGGAGGAUAUAGAAAAAGCUCUAACCAAUGUCAACAUUGUUUCUGGAAUGUGAUUUGGCUUGCUGUAAUGUGGAAUUUGCUACUACUGCCGUUGCGCUGCUGCUACUGUGGUGCUGAAUUUGUUUGUUGUUGUUAUCUCUAUUGUUGUCUACUGCUGCUGAAUUUUGUUCUCGAUGUUUGUUUAAACACCGAUUUGUUUGUUGUUGUUAUCACUGUUUGUUUGUUGUCUAUUACUGCUGC